rnacentral:sRNA from 1 species
CCCUAGCCCCGAUGGAAGUGGAAAUCCUUUAUUUCGUGAGGGUUUUUUACCCGAAUCGUAAUAAAGAUUGAAGCAUACAGCGGGACAACUC